rnacentral:rRNA from 1 species
CAGAGGUCCCGAGCGUUGUUCGGAUUCACUGGGCGUAAAGGGUGCGUAGGUGGUGAGGUAAGUCGGAUGUGAAAUCUCCGGGCUCAACCCGGAAAUGGCAUUGGAAACUACCUUGCUAGAGGAUUUGAGGGGGGAUUGGAAUACUUGGUGUAGCAGUGAAAUGCGUAGAUAUCAAGUGGAACACCAGUGGCGAAGGCGAAUCCCUGGAAAACACCUGACACUGAGGCACGAAAGCUAGGGGAGCAAACAGGAUUAGAUACCCUGGUAGUCCUAGCCCUAAACGGUGCUUGCUUGCUGUAAGAGGAAUCGACCCCUCUUGUGGCGGAGCUAACGCGCUAAGCAAGCCGCCUGGGAAGUACGGUCGCAAGAUUA